rnacentral:rRNA from 1 species
UACGGAGGAUCCGAGCGUUAUCCGGAUUUAUUGGGUUUAAAGGGUGCGUAGGCGGCUUUUUAAGUCAGCGGUGAAAUUUUGCAGCUUAACUGUAACAGUGCCGUUGAUACUGGGGAGCUAGGAUUUGGUUGCUGUGGGUGGAAUGUGUGGUGUAGCGGUGAAAUGCUUAGAGAUCACACAGAAUAUCGAUUGCGAAGGCAGCUCACAAAGCCAAGAUUGACGCUGAGGCACGAAAGUGUGGGGAUCAAACAGGAUUAGAUACCCCGGUA